GCUGGAGCGUCGGGCCCAUACCCGGCCAUCGCUGCAGUUUUAUCCGGUAAAGCGAAUAAUUAGAGGUCUUGGGGCCGAAACGAUCUCAAC
rnacentral:miRNA from 1 species